GACAGGAAGUGGGUGUGUCCUACAAGGGAGUAGCUGCAACAGGAAGUGACCACAAUUAGGCCAGCCAGACAUCAACCGCAUAACAUUCGUUCUUGUUCUUCUCCUGUGAGCAUUUCUAUGUCAUCUACUGCAAGUUCUGGGAGCUCGACCUGGACGGCGACCUCGCCAUAGACUGCCAUCUCUUCCUGGAUGAUAGACUGCGUCUUCUCUCUCCGGUGCUGUCACCCAGUGAGCAGCCUGGGAGGGCGCAGCCCCUGUGCAGUGCCAGGAAGCUGGGCUAUGCUGAACUCAUGUGGUGCCUGCUCUCAGAGGAGGACAAGAUCACGUGAGGGGCGGUGCCCCAGUCAGCCAUGCCUCCUGCUUGCUCCUUACCUCGCUUCUCUGUGGUCACGCCCACCAACUCUGGCUUCACCCUGACAUGGCCACGCUGAGUACUGGUUCCGCUGCGUGGUGGUCGAGCUCGAGUUCUAUGAGGAGCAGGCCUGGCACAUGGCCCCCCAAGGCAUGGAGCUCCUCCUUUUCUGCCACCUCACGCACCAGGUCGGAUCACGCUUUGUGGCCUGAAGCGCUUGAGCCUGGCAGGUGCCUGGAGGGGUUCUUCCCUCAAGUCUGAGAUGACAGCAGCACAGCAAAGAUAAGAGGCUACAUAAAAUAAGG
rnacentral:lncRNA from 1 species